rnacentral:pre_miRNA from 1 species
UUUAUGUAUAGUUUUUAUUCUGUGUUCAACGUUUAACUUUUCGUCUUAUUUUACUUUUUUCUUAAUUAUUAGAUGAUAAAAAUAUGAAUAGUAUUUUAUGUGUGACUUAUUUUCUAAAAAAAUAUUAAUUUCUUAAAUAAGACGGACGGUCAAAUGUUAGACGCAUAGACUGAAAACUGCACUUAAA